AUGGACAGGAAGGUUCUCACUCUGUUCCUUGGCCUUCUGCUUCUUUUGCUUAAAGAUGUAAGUUGUGACAUCCAGAUGACCCAAUCUCCAGCCUCUCUGGCCGUAUCUCUAGGAGAGAAAGUGACCAUGACUUGCAGGUCAAGUCAGAACAUUAACAAUGAGUUAGAUUGGUAUCUGCAGAGACCAGGGGAACCUCCCAAACUCCUGAUCUAUCAUGCAUCCAAUUUACACUCAGGGGUUCCUUCAAGGUUCAGUGGCAGUGGAUAUGGGACAGACUUCACUCUCACCAUCAGCACCCUGAAUGCUGAAGAUGUUGGAACCUAUUACUGUCAACAUGAUUAUGGUACCCCUCCCACAGUGCUACAGAGUGGAACAAAAACCACUUCCAGGAGCAGUUGUGUGAUUCUGGGCUGUCCAGCUGCUCCUCUUUGUUUUACUAUUUGCUGA